rnacentral:rRNA from 1 species
UUCUGGCUCAGGAUGAACGCUGGCGGCGUGCUUAACACAUGCAAGUCGAACGGAGUUUUAACGGAAGUUUCGGAUGGAAGUUUAGAAACUUAGUGGCGGACGGGUGAGUAACGCGUGGGUAACCUGCCUCAUACAGGGGGAUAACAGUUAGAAAUGACUGCUAACACCGCAUAAUAUAGCGAAACCGCAUGAUUUUGCUAUCAAAUAUUUAUAGGUAUGAGAUGGGCCCGCGUCUGAUUAGCUAGUUGGUGGGGUAAAAGCCUACCAAGGCGACGAUCAGUAGCCGGCUUGAGAGAGUGACCGGCCACAUUGGGACUGAGACACGGCCCAAACUCCUACGGGAGGCAGCAGUGGGGAAUAUUGGACAAUGGGGGAAACCCUGAUCCAGCGAACCGCCGCGUGAGUGAAGAAGUAUUUCGGUAUGUAAAGCUCUAUCAGCAGGGAAGAUAAUGACAGUACCUGACUAAGAAGCCCCGGCUAACUACGUGCCAGCCGCAGC